AGAGCGAGAGAUGUGGAGAGAGAUAUGAGAGAGCGAGAGAUGUGGAGAGAGAUAUGAGAGAGCGAGAGAUGUGGAGAGAGAUAUGAGAGAGCGAGAGAUGUGGAGAGAGAUAUGAGAGAGCGAGAGAUGUGGAGAGAGGAGUAGAGAGAGCGAGAGAUGUGGAGAGAGGAGUAGAGAGAGCGAGAGAUAUGGAGAGAGGAGUAGAGAGAGCGAGAGAUAUGGAGAGAGGAGUAGAGAGAGCGAGAGAUAUGGAGAGGAGAGUAGAGAGAGCGAGAGAGAUAUGGAGAGAGGAGUAGAGAGAGAGAGAGAUAUGGAGAGAGGAGUAGAGAGAGAGAGAUAUGGAGAGAGGAGUAGAGAGAGAGAGAUAUGGAGAGAGGAAGAGAGAGAGAGAUAUGGAGAGAGGAGUAGAGAGAGAGAUAUGGAGAGAGAAGUAGAGAGAGAGAUA
rnacentral:lncRNA from 1 species